rnacentral:ncRNA from 2 species
AAGUGAAAAUAUUUCUGGGGCGCCAGCAGGCACAAUAGGGAAGGCGGUGAAAUUCCGCAGCGGUUGCGCCACUGUAAACGGGAAGCCCCCGGCAAACUGCCACUGUUGUCUUUGCUCUCACACCUGUGUUGUGAGAGCCAGGAUGGCGGGAAGGCGCCGGAGGAGCGGAGAUCCGUAAGCCAGGAGACCUGCCCCGGAAAUCAGGGACCA